GAUGAACGCUGGCGGCGUGCCUAAUACAUGCAAGUCGAGCGAACGGACGAGAAGCUUGCUUUUCUGAUGUUAGCGGCGGACGGGUGAGUAACACGUGGAUAACCUACCUAUAAGACUGGGAUAACUUCGGGAAACCGGAGCUAAUACCGGAUAAUAUUUUGAACCGCAUGGUUCAAAAGUGAAAGACGGUCUUGCUGUCACUUAUAGAUGGAUCCGCGCUGCAUUAGCUAGUUGGUAAGGUAACGGCUUACCAAGGCAACGAUGCAUAGCCGACCUGAGAGGGUGAUCGGCCACACUGGAACUGAGACACGGUCCAGACUCCUACGGGAGACAGCAGUAGGGAAUCUUCCGCAAUGGGCGAAAGCCUGACGAAGCAACGCCGCGUGAGUGAUGAAGGUCUUCGGAUCGUAAAACUCUGUUAUUAGGGAAGAACAUAUGUGUAAGUAACUGUGCACAUCUUGACGGUACCUAAUCAGAAAGCCACGGCUAACUACGUG
rnacentral:rRNA from 1 species